UACGAAGGGGGCUAGCGUUGCUCGGAAUGACUGGGCGUAAAGGGCGCGUAGGCGGAUGGCACAGUCAGAUGUGAAAUUCCCGGGCUUAACCUGGGGGCUGCAUUUGAUACGUGUUGUCUUGAGUUCGGAAGAGGGUCGUGGAAUUCCCAGUGUAGAGGUGAAAUUCGUAGAUAUUGGGAAGAACACCGGUGGCGAAGGCGGCGACCUGGUCCGACACUGACGCUGAGCGCGA
rnacentral:rRNA from 1 species